rnacentral:tRNA from 1 species
GGAGGGAUGGCUGAGUGGUCGAAAGCGGCGGUCUUGAAAACCGUUGUGGGGCCUUGCCUCACCGGGGGUUCGAAUCCCUCUCCCUCCG